rnacentral:rRNA from 1 species
CAGAAGAGGGAAAGAAGGUCCGAAAGACGGGGGACUCUUGCACACGCGUCUUUCCUACUUGGGUAGGGCUCGGCACGCGGGGAAGGGGACAGGAGGAGGUGGAACGGACCCGAGGCGGAGGAGGAGGAGAGAGAGAGAAGACGCGGUUGCCGGUGAGGGAGCAACGACCUGGGGCGGGACGAAGCGGAGGCGGUCGGAGAAGGAGGAACGGCAGCUGCCGUCGCCACACUUGACCUCGUCGCCGGCGCUGAUCUACACUACUCAACUGACCCGACCAAGGUGCGACUCCUUGCCUGGGGGAGCUGUGGUAGGAGACGCCGCGAUGAGACGACGGAGGCAAACAGUGUCAAACACUAGAGAAGACAUAAGGCGAAAGGUCCUCAAGAACGGAAGUUGCGACUCCACCUUACCGAGAAGGGUAUGAACAGAGCGCUUCCACCCCGAGCUUCUUCAUACCGGGACUACGCGAUCGAAUCCCCAAGUAGACAUGCCCUCGUGUAGUAACCUCUCUUUCUAGUACUAGUUUCCUUUAUCCAAAGUCGAAAGUCCGAGUACGCGGACAAAAGGAAAAAGGAAAACUACCCCGGCAAGUCCACUCCACUUCGUUCGUUCGUGGAGGGGCACAAAAUAUAAACUCUAGCUCCUCUCUCGCUCGGUAACGUCUCCUCUCCCCUAUGCUCCUACCCGCCUCCAGUCCGGAACGAUUGUCUAAACACCGCCUCACCCUCUCCACUGGGGCCGGCCGGCCGCGGAGUGGUGGCCGAGGACAAACCGCCACCGUUUCUCUUCCCACGGCUCCUACACAACGAGAUACGUACCCACUGCUUCAUGUAGGAGCAAUACUACACAUACCAAAGAGAUAAAAGUCGGGAUGACGAGAACUCGGGUUUAGGGUACUGGUAGGGGGGUGGAGAGGAAGCAACUUACUUCCCUCAGACCAACGAUUUUUCAUACCUUAAAAUUAAACUAUCAGGCUUGUUGCCACCCAUAACUACCUCGUUAGAUGUAGAAAUGUACUAUUCGACUGUGGAGUAUUCCUAGUCCUCUUGUUGUCUCUACGAUUCUCCGUUGGAAAACCCCAAUUCCUAUAGUUGUUGUUGUCCCGAAUACUCCGGCUUCUCUCGAGCCCACCGCAGAAAACCAUGAACUUCGGGACGUACAAGGACCACAUCAUCGUCGUUUUAUUAAACCUCCGAAAUUUCGAUGACGUGAAGUACAUCAAUCCUAGUUAAGAAACAAAUCCAAACUUUAUAAGGGGACAAGGAGGAUAAACUAACUAAGUAGACUACCUGUAAAACAGUCCGUUUAUUUGUUUUCCAUAUACAUAACAAGUUCUUUAAGUUCUUUGUCUC